UAAAAAAAGGUAAGCUACUAAGAGCGAAUGGUGGAUGCCUUGACUGGUAAAGGCGAUGAAGGACGUACUAGACUGCGAUAAGCUACGGGGAGCUGUCAAGAAGCUUUGAUCCGUAGAUUUCCGAAUGGGGCAACCCAAUGUAUAGAGAUAUACAUUACCUAUAUAGGAGCGAACGAGGGGAAUUGAAACAUCUUAGUACCCUCAGGAAAAGAAAUCAAUAGAGAUUGCGUCAGUAGCGGCGAGCGAAAGCGCAAGAGGGCAAACCCAGUGCUUGCACUGGGGGUUGUAGGACUGCAAUGUGCAAGAGCUGAGUUUAG
rnacentral:rRNA from 1 species